GACGUAGGGGGCCAGCGUUGUUCGGAAUUACUGGGUGUAAAGGGUUCGUAGGCGGUGUGGCAAGUCGGGAGUGAAAUUUCUGGGCUCAACUCAGAGGCUGCUUCCGAAACUGCUGUGCUUGAGUGUGGGAGAGGCGCGUGGAAUUGCAGGUGUAGCGGUGAAAUGCGUAGAUAUCUGCAGGAACACCCGUGGCGAAAGCGGCGCGCUGGACCACUACUGACGCUGAGGAACGAAAGCUAGGGGAGCAAACAGG
rnacentral:rRNA from 1 species